UGCUCUGAAUGUCAAAGUGAAGAAAUUCA
rnacentral:piRNA from 7 species